rnacentral:rRNA from 1 species
CAGCCUGCAACCCGGCUGUAUGAAGCUGGAAUCGCUAGUAAUCGCAAACCAGAAUGUUGCGGUGAAUACGUUCCCGGGUCUUGUACACACCGCCCGUCACACCAUGGGAGCCAGGAAUGCCCGAAGCCAGUGGCCUAACCGCAAGGGAGGAGCUGUCGAAGGCAGGCCCGGUAACUGGGUGAAGUCGUAACAAGGUAAC